UACGUAGGGGGCUAGCGUUGUCCGGAUUUAUUGGGCGUAAAGAGCGUGUAGGCGGCCUGGUAGGUCUGCUGUGAAAACUCGAGGCUCAACCUCGAGAUGUCGGCGGAAACCAUCUGGCUAGAGUCCGGAAGAGGAGAGUGGAAUUCCUGGUGUAGCGGUGAAAUGCGCAGAUAUCAGGAGGAACACCUGUGGCGAAGGCGGCCCCCUGGUUGGAUACUGACGCUGAUACGCGAAAGCGUGGGGAGCAAACAGG
rnacentral:rRNA from 1 species